UACGGGGGGAGCAAGCGUUGUUCGGAUUUACUGGGCGUAAAGGGCGCGUAGGCGGCCACCGCAAGUCGACUGUGAAAUCUCCGGGCUUAACCCGGAAAGGUCAGCCGAUACUGCGGGGCUAGAGUGCAGAAGGGGCAACUGGAAUUCCUGGUGUAGCGGUGAAAUGCGCAGAUAUCAGGAGGAACACCGAUGGCGAAGGCAGGUCUCUGGGCAUUAACUGACGCUGAGGAGCGAAAGCAUGGGGAGCGAACAGG
rnacentral:rRNA from 1 species